CCCUUCGAUGUCCUGGGCUGCACGCGCGUUACAAUGGCAUGUUCAACGAGCAUAGAAACCUUGCACGAAGGUGUUGGGAAAUCUUGUAAAUGCAUGUCGUGAUGGGGAUAGAUCAUUGUAAUUAUUGGUCUUGAACGAGGAAUUCCUAGUAAGCGUGAGUCAUCAACUCGCGCUGAUUGCGUCCCUGCCCUUUGUACACACCGCCCGUCGCUCCUACCGAUCGAACGUCCCGGUGAGGAUUCUGGACAGCCUUGGAUUUUGGUUGCACAAAGUGUAUUACCAACCAUGUUUGCUGGAAAUUGUUCAAAUCUUGACGUUUAGAGGAAGGAGAAGUCGUAACA
rnacentral:rRNA from 1 species